UCAAAAACAUGGCUUUUUGAUGAUAAUUUAAAGUCAGGCCUGCCCACUGAAAAUUUAAAGGGCCGCGGUAAUUUGACCGUGCUAAGGUAGCAUAAUCAUUAGUUUCUUAAUUAGAAGCUGGAAUGAAUGGUUUGAUGAGAAAAUGACUGUCUCUAUUUAAUAAAUAUAGAAUUUUAUUUUUAAGUAAGAAAGCUUAAAUUUUUUUAAAAGACGAGAAGACCCUAUAGAGUUUAAUAUUUAUAUAAAUAAUAUUAAAUUGGUAUAAUAAUUUUUUAUUAAAAUAAAUAUUUGAUUGGGGUGAUUGAAAAAUUAAAUUAACUUUUUUUGUUAUUAACCAUUAAUUUAUGAUUAUUUGAUCCAUUAUUAGUGAUUAUAAGAAAAAAUUACCUUAGGGAUAACAGCGUUAUUUUUUUUGAGAGUUCUUAUCGAUAAAAAAGAUUGCGACCUCGAUGUUGGAUUAAAAUUAAUUUUUGGUGUAGCAGCUAAAAAUUUUAGGUCUGUUCGACCUUUAAAAUUUUACAUGAUCUGA
rnacentral:rRNA from 1 species